AGUUAGUAGUUUCACUGCUGUUUUCAAAUGAGAAUAGAGAACUAUGACUGAGAGCAGUUUUACUGUGAGCAUGAAUAGUGAUCUUUAAAAAAUGCUGUGAUUUGAUUUCAACCUUUUCUGUAUCACAUGUUUAGGAGCACCAGCACAACCCUGGUAAGGAUCUACACCUGUACACUACAGUAGGAGUCAGAGGCGUUAUCCCUAAUUUUGGCUUUUUUUUUGUUAAUCGAGUCUUCAUGUUUGCUCUUCAGAAAAAGGAGUUCUCUCCACGUGAGGUUGCAGCACUCGUCAUAGCAAUGAGCCGUCCCUGAAUCAAGAUGUGAAUGUUAUGCUGCCAGCCGGUUCAGAUCAGAGUCCAAUGGAAAUACAUGUCCUGUUGAAAGAAACCUUUACACAGCUACAACAGGAAGUGGAAACUCGAGUUCGGGCAGAAUGCAUGUGUUUAAUUUUAUUUGUUUUGUUAGUGAUUCUUUUCAUAUGGGUGUUUUGUCCAGACUUUGCAAAGACUCUGAAAAAGAUAGGACUGAUAUGACAUUAAUCUUGACUGGGCUGGUCUUUGUACCUAUCAGUUAAAGGCAUUAUUUUUUUGUUUUUGUCUACAAAUUCCAUUUAAAGAGACAAAGAACUAAAAAUUGGUUUGUCUCAGUAUUAUCCUACAUAUAUAAACAUGUUUUCAAUCAAAUAUAACACCAGGCCUAUACAACUUCACAGAAGCAGUAUAUAUCCUGCAUUGUUCACCUUGUUUCACCUUUCUCUUUCCCUCUGAAUGAAUACUUGCUCACUAUGGAUGCCACAUUUAUCUUGAUUAAAGAAUUACACGGAUGACACCA